rnacentral:rRNA from 1 species
UAAGUUUGAUGGCGACCGGCGCACGGGUGAGUAACACGUAUCCAACCUGCCGAUGACUCGGGGAUAGCCUUUCGAAAGAAAGAUUAAUACCCGAUGGCAUAGUUCUUCCGCAUGGUGGAACUAUUAAAGAAUUUCGGUCAUCGAUGGGGAUGCGUUCCAUUAGGGUUGUUGGCGGGGUAACGGCCCACCAAGCCUUCGAUGGAUAGGGGUUCUGAGAGGAAGGUCCCCCACAUUGGAACUGAGACACGGUCCAAACUCCUACGGGAGGCAGCAUG